rnacentral:rRNA from 1 species
GACGAACGCUGGCGGCGUGCUUAACACAUGCAAGUCGAACGGAAAGGCCCUGCUUUUGUGGGGUGCUCGAGUGGCGAACGGGCGAGUAACACGUGAGUAACCUGCCCUUGACUUUGGGAUAACUUCAGGAAACUGGGGCUAAUACCGGAUAGGAGCUCCUGCUGCAUGGUGGGGGUUGGAAAGUUUCGGCGGUUGGGGAUGGACUCGCGGCUUAUCAGCUUGUUGGUGGGGUAGUGGCUUACCAAGGCUUUGACGGGUAGCCGGCCUGAGAGGGUGACCGGCCACAUUGGGACUGAGAUACGGCCCAGACUCCUACGGGAGGCAGCAGUGGGGAAUAUUGCACAAUGGGCGGAAGCCUGAUGCAGCAACGCCGCGUGCGGGAUGACGGCCUUCGGGUUGUAAACCGCUUUCGCCUGUGACGAAGCGUGAGUGACGGUAAUGGGUAAAGAAGCACCGGCUAACUACGUGCCAGCAGCCGCGGUGAUACGUAGGGUGCGAGCGUUGUCCGGAUUUAUUGGGCGUAAAGGGCUCGUAGGUGGUUGAUCGCGUCGGAAGUGUAAUCUUGGGGCUUAACCCUGAGCGUGCUUUCGAUACGGGUUGACUUGAGGAAGGUAGGGGAGAAUGGAAUUCCUGGUGGAGCGGUGGAAUGCGCAGAUAUCAGGGGGAACACCAGUGGCGAAGGCGGUUCUCUGGGCCUUUCCUGACGCUGAGGAGCGAAAGCGUGGGGAGCGAACAGGCUUAGAUACCCUGGUAGUCCACGCUGUAAACGGUGGGUACUAGGUGUGGGGUCCAUUCCACGGGUUCCGUGCCGUAGCUAACGCUUUAAGUACCCCGCCUGGGGAGUACGGCCGCAAGGCUAAAACUCAAAGGAAUUGACGGGGCCCCGCACAAGCGGCGGAGCAUGCGGAUUAAUUCGAUGCAACGCGUAGAACCUUACCUGGGUUUGACAUGGAUCGGGAGUGCUCAGAGAUGGGUGUGCCUCUUUUGGGGUCGGUUCACAGGUGGUGCAUGGCUGUCGUCAGCUCGUGUCGUGAGAUGUUGGGUUAAGUCCCGCAACGAGCGCAACCCUUGUUCACUGUUGCCAGCACGUUAUGGUGGGGACUCAGUGGAGACCGCCGGGGUCAACUCGGAGGAAGGUGGGGAUGACGUCAAGUCAUCAUGCCCCUUAUGUCCAGGGCUUCACGCAUGCUACAAUGGCUGGUACAGAGAGUGGCGAGCCUGUGAGGGUGAGCGAAUCUCGGAAAGCCGGUCUCAGUUCGGAUUGGGGUCUGCAACUCGACCUCAUGAAGUCGGAGUCGCUAGUAAUCGCAGAUCAGCAACGCUGCGGUGAAUACGUUCCCGGG